CAGUCGCCGCGGUAAUACGAAGGGGGCUAGCGUUGUUCGGAAUUACUGGGCGUAAAGCGCACGUAGGCGGAUUUUUAAGUCAGGGGUGAAAUCCCGAGGCUCAACCUCGGAACUGCCUUUGAUACUGGAGAUCUUGAGUUCGGAAGAGGUUGGUGGAACAGCUAGUGUAGAGGUGAAAUUCGUAGAUAUUAGCUAGAACACCAGUGGCGAAGGCGGCCAACUGGUCCGAUACUGACGCUGAGGUGCGAAAGCGUGGGGAGCAAACAGGAUUAGAUACCCGGGUAGUCCCUGUCUCUUAUAC
rnacentral:rRNA from 1 species